CACAGUGGGGCACCCCCGAUAGAGCACCCGCAAUGGGGCGCCCCGCCAUGGGGCACCCCCAAACCCCCGAGCACAGGGGCUGCGGGGACCCCGGAGCCCCAAAUCCCCCCGGGGCACUCAGGGGAGGGGGAUCCCCAGGGCCCUCAGAAAUGGGGGUGCGGGGACCCCCCAAAUGUCCCGGGGCACCACGAGGCUGCGGGGACCUCCCCGGCCCCCCAAAGAGGGGAUGCAGGGACCCACAGCCCCCCAAUAGUGUGGGGACCCCCAAACCCCCCCGGCACUGAGGAGCUUGUGGGGCUGUGUCCCCCUGUGCCCCAAGUGGGGAUGGGGGUACCCCAGCACUGCAGGGACCCCACAGUGUCCCGGGGGACCCCAAAUUGUCCCGGGGGACCCCACAGUGUCACAGAGACCCCAGAGUGUCCCCAGGGACCCCACAAUGUCACACGGGACCCACAAUGUCACACGGGACCCACAGUGUCACAGGGGACCCACAGUGUCACAGGGGACCCCACAGUUGUCACAGGGACCCCAAAGUGUCCCCAGGGACCCCAGAGUGUCACAGGGAUCACACAGUGUCACAUGGGACCCCACAGUGUCACAGGGACCCCAAAGUGUCCCCAGGGACCCCAGAGUGUCACAUGGGACCCCACAGUGUCCUGGGGACCCCAGAUUGUCCCCAGGGACCCCACAGUGUCACAGGGACCCCACGGGCCUGUGGCCUCCCGGUCUGGGGGACCCCGGACUCGCUGUGUCCAGGGGUGAAUAAAGUCUUGGAGCAUCGGA